AUACUCUAUAGACUAUGGAUGCUGGAAUGCUUUGUAGUCGAAAGGUCCGCCGCCGUAGGAUGGGUCUGCGGCCGAUUAGGUUGUUGUUGGGGUAACGGCCCAACAAGCCUGUAAUCGGUACGGGUUGUGGGAGCAAGAGCCCGGAGAUGGAUUCUGAGACACGAAUCCAGGCCCUACGGGGCGCAGCAGGCGCGAAAACUUUACAAUGCGGGAAACCGUGAUAAGGGAACUCCGAGUGCCCGUAAAAUCGGGCUGUCCAUCUGCUUAAAUCACAGGUGAAGAAAGGGCCGGGCAAGACCGGUGCCAGCCGCCGCGGUAAUACCGGCGGCUCGAGUGGUGGCCACUAUUACUGGGCUUAAAGCGUUCGUAGCUGGUUUGUUAAGUCUCUGGGGAAAUCUUCCGGCUUAACCGGAAGGCGUCUCAGGGAUACUGGCAGACUAGGGACCGGGAGAGGUGAGGGGUACUCCAGGGGUAGGAGUGAAAUCCUGUAAUCCUUGGGGGACCACCUGUGGCGAAGGCGCCUCACCAGAACGGCUCCGACAGUGAGGGACGAAAGCUGGGGGAGCAAACCGGAUUAGAUACCCGGGUAGUCCCAGCUGUAAACGAUGCGCGUUAGGUGUAUCGAUGACCACGAGUCAUCGAGGUGCCGAAGAGAAAUCGUGAAACGUGCCGCC
rnacentral:rRNA from 1 species